AGGAUAAUAGUUAAUUAUAACAUUUAAUUUGCAUUUAAAAAUUACUGAUAAAGUUUAUCUU
rnacentral:tRNA from 1 species